rnacentral:lncRNA from 1 species
UUGGCCCAUUGAGAUAUGAUUGCUUGUAGAAUCACACCGAGUAUGUUGUCGUUGAGCUUUAGACAUUUAGGUGAUGGUGACUGUAUAUAUGUUUUGAAGAAUGCAGACUCAGAACAAUGUUUGUGGUUAAACAUGAUGAGAAGUUCAUAUUCCCCUCAUAAUUUUUUGAAAUAAUAUUUGUGAAAAUUACUCCUUCGAUGAUGUUUGACUGGGCAUCAAGUUUAAGAAAGACUUGUGACACAUUAAAAUUACCGUUGGCACUUGUCUUAGAUGUCUAUGACAUUUUUGUGGAUAUAUGAACAUAUCAUUCUUGUAAUGGGAAGUAUAAAGUGAGAGAUUCUAAAUAUAGGCAGGAAUUUAUAUGCCUUAAAAAUAAGUUUCAAAAAAUAAUAAUUUAUAUGCCUUAAAAAUAUAGGUAGGUGUUGUUCUUCUAGGAACAAACUAAAUAGAGUGGGAGUGUCAUAUGAAAUGAAUUUGAGGGAGUAAUAAAUAAAUAAUUAAAAAUAUGAAGGAUUUCUGAGUUUAGGUUUAACAUUUGGAAAUAGCGUUUGGUUUAAAUCAAUUUUUUUGUGGCUACUGGCUAGUGCCUUGCAUGUUAAUCUACUCUCCC